UUCAUUGAUGGACGUUUACUGGUAGCUAUUAGCUAACUGCUAACUGCAGCUAACAGAGUGGGAGCUUCUAAUGUCCACUAAUUCAACUUCCUACUGACUCAAACACACACUUUUAUGAGGCACACACACACACACACACACACACACACAGACACACUGUUGGGCAGUGAAGCAGUUGUGAUGUCAUCGGCAAAACUGAAACAAAUGCCCAGAUUACUCAUUUCCUGUAGUGACAUCACUGUGUGUGUGUGUGUGUGUGUGUGUGUGAAACAUUAAAACAUCAUCAGUAGAAAUGUUUUGAUGUUUUUCUGCAUUCAAUUUUUUAUUUUUGAUAAAACAGAAUUCAUCUCAGGACACUUUUCUAAUAGUGCAGGUAGCAACAACUGUACUAAUAGAAAUUACUGAUGAUGACAACGAGGACAAUAAUAAUAUGAUAAUAAUAAUAAUAAUAAUAAUUUCAGUAAUUGUUAUAAUAUCAGUUAUAAUAAUAAUAUAAAUUAAUAAUAAUAGUAAUAACAAUAGUAACAAUUAUAUCAGUGAUAUUAGUAAUGGCAGUCAAGCAGGACCAUGGCAGGAGGCUCCACCAGGAUCCAUGAGAACCUGCGAGAUGAGAAAGCACAAGAACUCCGGGGAAGAAGUGAAGUUAGUAACAUGCAUUAAUGGAACAUGAAUGAGUGCAGAAAGAGAGAGGAAGAGAGGAGCUCAGUGCACCAUGGGAAAUCCCCCGAUAGUCUAGGCCAGGGGUGUACAAACUACGGCCUGUGGGCCAACUGCGGCCCAUGGUAGAAGUUUAAGUUUUGCCACGAGACAAAAAUGACGGAACCAAAGAAACGCAAGAUAGCGAGCGUGUAGAAAAUGUUCAGAUUUCAAUUUCAGACACGGUGGGAAAAUGAAUAUUUCUUCACAGAAGCUAAGGGGAAAUGUGUCUGUUUGAUUUGCAAUGAAACUGUUGCAGUGAUGAGAGUACAAUGUAUGAAGACACUAUGAAUCCAAACAUCAGACCUACACGUCCUCUACUGGUGCCGAGCGAGAACAGAUGGUUAAACAAAUGGCAGCUAGCCUGUUAGCUCAACAACAGUAUUUUUUCCGUGAUAACAAAACACAGGAAAUGCCACAAUAGCUAGCUACUAGGUAGCUCAGCACAUUGCCCGACACGGGAAGCCUUUCUCAGAUGGUGACUUCAUAAAACAGUGCCUCACUAAAGUAGCAGGAAUAAUGUGCCCAGAAAAAAUGCGGGAAUUCAACAACGUUAGCCUGUUCAGAAACACAGUUGGGUGGUGAAUCGAAGACUUGUCAGCAUGUUAAACAUCAACUGUCAGAUAAAGCUUUUGAUUUUUACUCCGUUGCAUGUGAGAGCACAGAUGCCACAGACACGGCACAGCUGGUAAUUUUUUUGCGUGGAGUUGAAGAUAACUUUUGCACUAUGGAGGAGCUGCUUGAUCAUAGGAGUCUAAAGGGCACAACAACGGGUAAAGACAUUUUUGAAGCCGUGUCAGAUGCAAUUGACAAGAUGGGACUAACAUGGAACAAGCUGUGUGGAGUUACAAUGGAUGGGGCUCCAGCAAUGACAGGCGAGCGCAAAGGAAUGACCUCGAUGGUGUGUGCCAAGGUGCAAGAGAGCAACAACUUCACACGCACAUGAAAGCAUUCUGUGUGAAGCUCCGUCUGUUUGAGACACAGCUGCGCAGCUUCAAUGUUGUGCACUUCCCCACGCUGUUUGAAAUCAAACAUCCUUUUCCAAAGGCCAAUCUUUCUGCUAAUAUGUGUCCAUGAUCACAUCUCUCAUGACAGAAUUCAGUCAGUGCUUCGCUGGUGGAUGCAGAAGAAGUGGAAGAGAGUCUGCAAUUAGAACUUAUCGAAAUGCAGUGUGAUGAUUCUCUGAAGAAUCAACAUCAGCUUCUCUCCUUACCUGAAUUUUACCGGAGUUUGGAAAAGGCCAAGUUUCCUCUGAUGAGAUGCCACAGAAAACGAAUGAUGUGUCUAUUCGGCUCAACAUACAUAUGUGAGCAGACAUUUUCCCUGUUAACUCUGAACAAAAGCAGACUGAGAACCAAAAUGGCCGACAGCCAUCUCUGUGAUGUCCUCCACAUCUCAACCACCAAACUUACUCCUGACCUGCCAGCCAUCCUUCAGUCCACUGAGUGCAACGCUGUUUCCAUUAUAGGGCUGUGAAGGGGGAUCACCAUCCUGAAUAAGAAGCAACCCGAAACUGCUGUUUUGAGAAUUAACUGCCACCCUUUUUGUAACAAAAUAAAUUAAUAAAUUAAAACCCAUUAAUAGAAAGAUGUGAGUGAUGUAGGCUGUUUUUUUCUUUAAGCAUAUUCAAUUAUCAAACAUUAUUUAUCUACAUUUGAUUGAUUUUGCCAACUUCAAUACACUAAAGGUGAGGCGAUACACUUCACUAUAGUGAGUGGCCCAGCCCCUUCAUAUAUUUUUCCGUAUGUGGCCCUAAGUGAAAAAAGUUUGGACACCCCUGGUCUAGGCCUAUAGCAGCAUAACUAAAGGAUGGUUCAGGACUCACCUGAGCCAGCCCUAACUAUAAGCUUUAUCAAAGCGGAACGUCUUAAGCCUACUCUUAAAUGUGGAGAGGGUGUCUGCUUCACAGGAGAGGAGCUUGGUAACUGAAGGCUCUGGCUCCUGUUCUACUUUUAGAGACUAUAGGAACCACAAGUAGCCCUGCAUUCAGAGAAUGCAGUGUUCUAGGGGGGUGAUAGUGUGCGCUCUUUAAGAUAUGAAGGGGCCUGACCAUGAAGAGCUUUGUAAGAGAGGGGCUUGGUAGCUGAAGGCUACAGUAACCCAGAAUGGAUAAAUACUGGAUCCUGAUAGAGACUUUACUGUAGUUUAUAUACACACUGACGGCUGAGCAGUAUUCAGUUGGUUGUAAUAUGCAACUCCAGCACAUAAGUGCAUCCAUGUUAACUGUUUGGGUUUGGUUUCUGUGUCUGAUGUCACUCGUUCCUUCAGCAUUAUAUCAUCCUUUUAUCCAGAGUCACACUGUGUACUAACUGUUGCUCUUUUUAAGGCGGAAUUGUAGUUGGACAGUGAGUGUUGGAAAAAAAAUGAUUUGUCCUCCACAGUUUUUGUAUUGAAUUCAUUUUCCGUCAGUCAGGAUAACAAAAGGUGAUUAGACCAGAAGUGACUGAUGUAGAUCUGACGACGUCCAUAAUAUAAUAUAAUAUAAUAUAAUAUAAUAAUAAUAGGAAUUCGGUCUAGGCCUGCUCUAUUUGAAAAGUGUCCUGAGAUAACUUCUGUUAUGAAUUGGCGCUAUACAAAUAAAAUUGAAUUGAAUUGAA